GAUGAACGCUAGCGACAGGCUUAACACAUGCAAGUCGAGGGGCAGCGGGGGUGAUGGCUUGCCAUCACCUGCCGGCGACCGGCGCACGGGUGAGUAACACGUAUGCAACCUGCCCGCCACAGGGGGAUAAGCGGAAGAAAUUCCGUCUAAUACCGCGUGACGCGGCGUCGGGGCAUCCCGGUGCCGCCAAAGGGAUUACCGGUGGCGGAUGGGCAUGCGGCGCAUUAGCUAGUCGGCGGGGUAACGGCCCACCGAGGCGACGAUGCGUAGGGGUUCUGAGAGGAAGGUCCCCCACACUGGUACUGAGACACGGACCAGACUCCUACGGGAGGCAGCAGUGAGGAAUAUUGGUCAAUGGGCGCGAGCCUGAACCAGCCAAGUCGCGUGAGGGAUGACGGUCCUACGGAUUGUAAACCUCUUUUGCCGGGGAGCAAGCGUGCGUUCGUGAACGCGCGUCGAGAGUACCCGGAGAAAAAGCAUCGGCUAACUCCGUGCCAGCAGCCGCGGUAAUACGGAGGAUGCGAGCGUUAUCCGGAUUUAUUGGGUUUAAAGGGUGCGUAGGCGGGAUGCCAAGUCAGCGGUAAAAAUGCGGUGCUCAACGCCGUCGAGCCGUUGAAACUGGCGUUCUUGAGUGGGCGAGAAGUAUGCGGAAUGCGUGGUGUAGCGGUGAAAUGCAUAGAUAUCACGCAGAACUCCGAUUGCGAAGGCAGCAUACCGGCGCCCUACUGACGCUGAGGCACGAAAGCGUGGGUAUCGAACAGGAUUAGAUACCCUGGUAGUCCACGCAGUAAACGAUGAAUGCUAACUGUCCGGCGCGAAUGAGCGCUGGGCGGUACAGCGAAAGCGUUAAGCAUUCCACCUGGGGAGUACGCCGGCAACGGUGAAACUCAAAGGAAUUGACGGGGGCCCGCACAAGCGGAGGAACAUGUGGUUUAAUUCGAUGAUACGCGAGGAACCUUACCCGGGCUCAAACGCAGGAUGACGGGUCCCGAAAGGGGCCUUUCUUCGGACAUUCUGCGAGGUGCUGCAUGGUUGUCGUCAGCUCGUGCCGUGAGGUGUCGGCUUAAGUGCCAUAACGAGCGCAACCCCUGUUCACAGUUGCCAGCAGGUAAAGCUGGGGACUCUGUGGAGACUGCCGGCGCAAGCUGCGAGGAAGGCGGGGAUGACGUCAAAUCAGCACGGCCCUUACGUCCGGGGCGACACACGUGUUACAAUGGCAGGUACAGCGGGAUGCCACGGGGCGACCCGGCGCUGAACCCGAAAACCUGUCUCAGUUCGGAUUGGAGUCUGCAACCCGACUCCAUGAAGCUGGAUUCGCUAGUAAUCGCGCAUCAGCCACGGCGCGGUGAAACGUUCCCGGGCCUUGUACACACCGCCCGUCAAGCCAUGGAAGCCGGGGGUACCUGAAGUGCGUGACCGCGAGGAGCGCCCUAGGGUAAAACCGGUGACUGGGGCU
rnacentral:rRNA from 1 species